rnacentral:rRNA from 1 species
CCCAGUUCGGAUUGUAGUCUGCAACCCGACUACAUGAAGCUGGAAUCGCUAGUAAUCGCGGAUCAGAAUGCCGCGGUGAAUACGUUCCCGGGUCUUGUACACACCGCCCGUCACACCAUGGGAGUCGAUAACGCCCGAAGUCAGUGACCUAACCGAGAGGGAGGAGCUGCCGAAGGCGGGAUGGAUAACUGGGGUGAAGUCGUAACAAGGUACC